CCUGGUGACCAUAGCGGAGGUGUCAUACCCGUUCCCAUCCCGAACACGGAAGUCAAGCCCUCCCGCGCCGAUGGUACUCCCCUCACCAAGCCGUUUUGCAAAAGACGUCUUGGUGAGGGGUGGGAGAGUAGGUCGUUGCCAGGC
rnacentral:rRNA from 1 species